GCCCGACGCUUAGGAGGCUCCGCGGCCGCGCUCGGCGCCCUAUCCCGUACUCUCGCCGCCCCGUCCCUUCCUCGUCCGCUCCGCGUCCCCGCCCCGCUCGGUCCUGCGGUGCCGUGGCGAUGCUGUCGGGCUGCGGGCGGUCCCCCCCCCCCAGAAAACGGCACAGGGCGGCAGAUACAACGUCAGGCUCUGCAGGAGCCCUGGGCCUCACUUAGGGCUUCCUGUGGAGCAUGAAGUGCUGCUGCUGCCGGGAGAGAGAAAUCCUUUGGGAAGCUGGGAUACAAACAGCAACUCUGUGAAUUGCUCAGCUUUUCAUAGGACAAGGAAAAUCAUUGCCUUGGGUCCAGCGAUGCCAAAUGCGUUGGAGUGUGAGCAGCCACAGGCAACAGGCUCCAGCCCCGAUGACCAGCACUGGGGGCACCUGGUCCUGCCCGUGGGGUGGGGUAAGUCAGAGGGACACAUUUCUCUUCUCCUGGCUGUUGGCAUUAGCUCUCUGGGAAAUGGCUCUGUUUCCCACUCCAGGCUGGUCUUUGCCAUGUGUGCUGGGAAGGGUCAAGAGGAAGGGAAGGGGCCAAGGGCCAGGUGAAUGUGGGGUCACAGAGCUGUGGGGUUGGGCUGUGCUGAGAGGGGCAGGUCAGUCCCUGUUGGUGAGUCUGAGCAUUGGUGUGGGGGUUCAGGAGGCCGGGGGGCCAAGCUCGGGGAGUGUUUGCAGCUGUACCAGGGAUGGAGUUGACACAGCGCUGGGGGAGAGCCUGGAGCUGGGCUGGGCCGAGGGACAGAUGCAGGGGAGCUGGGGGAGGGUUUGGGACUCCCUGGGGGGAAAGGAGGGCUGGAUGGAGCCACGGGCUUGUGCUCGUGGGAACACACUUGUCCAGGGCACCAGGAUCCGGGUCAAACUCCGGUUACCCUCGUGUCCAGGGCUGCAGAGUCUAAGGGAUUGGAUUUCCCUGUGGGUUUGCAGGACACCAGGAAUGAGAGGAAGUGUGGUGCCAGAGCUGUGUCCCACUGGGUUGUGUUUCCCUCUGAGGACAGAGAGCCUGUGGGCUGUGAGUGUUGGGAUGAGCAAUGCAGGGAACGAGGAGCUCGGAAUUCCAGUUGCUGUCCAGAAUCUCUCCGACAAAACCUAUUGGAAAGUUAGAGGUAGGAUUUGAAUUUGGGUCUAUUCCCUACAAAGUCCUGCAAAGCCUGAAAGUCAGGGCUGAUGACUGCUCUUAACAAAGGUUUAUUAAUAUUCCGUCAGAUUUUCCUCAGCUCUGGGCAGGACAGGUCAGGGUUAGGGUCGGCAAUUGUGCAAGUAAAACCUGUUGAUUUCUCCUGUGCGUGUGUCAGUUUGGCAGGGCUGGGACAAGGAGGACUCGUGCGAGCACCUCCAGAGACAGCGGGAACGGGAGCGUGCUGCAGAGAAGGAAAAUUCCAGGUGAUGGGUGCUGAGAAAUUUGUACUUCCCUUGUCCUGUGCUCUGCACUUAGUUAUGGGUCAGCUGCAGAAAUUUCCUGGGGACCCUGGGAAAUGAUCCCUGGUCUGCUGAAAAGUGGGAGAAUCCUGCUGUCAAAAUGCAGCCCCUGAGGGGGGGGCCAAAAGAGCAGGACCUGGGUAUGCAAGUGUGGGAGAAACAAGGGAGAGAGCAAUGUCUGGGUCAUCCUCUGCGUCCAGGAGGGAGAGCACCAGCAAAAGCCAUGGACUAAACCACUGAAGUGCCGUUCCCCAGGGAGCCCCUGCACAGCAGUGAACUUCCUUCUGCACUUGCUGUCCCUUUCCCAGCGGAGCUGAAGCGUCAGGUGUGAGUGUUGCAGGGGUGGAGCUGCCAAGGACAAACUGGGAGGGUGUUUGCGAAGCAAGGGGGUAGAAUGAAGUCUUCACUUGCUUUAUGUACCUCAUUCCACAGAAUUAGCAUGAGAGGAAAUACCUCAGAGGGGCUUACCUCCAAAUAAGCCCUGAAUAUCCCAGGAGGUUUCAGCUGGGAGAAAGAAAACCACCCUAAAAAUAGCCAGUGGGGAUCAUCAGGUUUUCCAGCCAAGGAAAACAAGGACAGCGAUGAGGGAGUAGUGUUCCAAUUAAUAAUGAUUUGAUGGGAAUGAAUUCUGUAUGUUUUACAGUCCUUUUUAUUCCUGGAAUGAUUUUAAAAUUAUGGCCAAAACAACUAAUUUGGAGAUUUUGUUUUUGAGAGGAAAUGACACAAAAUAAAUGCAGGGAGAGAGUGUGGAAUCA
rnacentral:lncRNA from 1 species